CCUCUUUUGUCGAGAUCCAAAAAGAGCCAUUGAAUACAAGGUAAAACAUAUUUUUCUAGAUUUAAAAGUUUUUAUUGCCUAAUGCUUCCAUUAUAUUUAGAUCUAUGGUCUAGGGAUGUGAAUUGAGUAAUUAAGAUAUUCCCAGCAUAUAUAACAUGAACUCUUAGAAGACUUGUAUUGAAAAAGUCAUAUUUUUAAACGUGAAUUCUUGAAGAUUUACACUAAAAAAAA
rnacentral:lncRNA from 1 species